GCCUGGGUGGCUCAGUGGGUUAAAGCAUCUGACUUCAGCUCAGGUCAAGCUCUCACGGUCCGUGAGUUUGAGUCCCACCUCAGGCU
rfam:Felis catus breed Abyssinian Contig212903.1, whole genome shotgun sequence. [26-MAY-2016]